GGCCAUGAAUAAUAAUUGCCUUGGUGUUAGGAACACUACAUUUUCAUUUUUGAGUAAGUACCUAUUGUUAAGAAAAUAUUUUUCUACGGUUACAGAAAUGUUUACAAUUUUUUUCUAGACUCUCAAGAUUCCCUCCGCUUUAUCCUACUCGUAUUGUCAAAGUAUGUCAUAAAAAUUAAUAUUGUUUCCCUUGGGCCAUGGAGUCGCAGUGCCAAAAAAUAUUUCCGUAUCAUUUCACCGCGGCUAGUUGCCUCGACUGGUGACAGAAGGGCUGGCUCAUUUUUUGCGCUAAGGAUCAGCCUGGCUGUCCAGCGCGGAAAUGCAGCCAGUAUUCUAGCCACCAUUCCACGUGGGCAUGAUUUGUAUAGUUAUUAGGAUAAGUUAGCUUAAGUUCCUUAUGGAAUAGUAUUUAUUAAUGAAGAUAAUACUUAAAUUAGCUAAACUUAUUAUAAAAAUAAAAUAUAAGGAAAUAUAACUACAACUACAAAAUUAAAAUAAAUUAAAAUUAAAACUAAUACCUAGAAAUAAUUAUCGAAAUUUGCCGCCCUUGGUAUUACAAGUUCCUUAUUGUAUUCUUUCUCCAUAUUGUUUUUAAAAACGCUUUUUGUCAUUCUAACUGCCCUCUUUGGUCCGGUCGGAGUCUACAUAUUUUUGGUAAGGGACAGCCUCACAUUUUGCCUAAAGGACAGCCAGGCUGAUCCUUUGGGCAAAUAAUGAGCCAGUAAAUUAUUAAAUUCAACUCGGUAACAGCCCUAAAAAAUCGCAAUCUAUAGAUAUAGAGAAGAAACAGGUUCUAUUAAAUUUUAGGUUUGACUAUUAAUUAGGUUUGUCUGUGAGUCAUUCAUUAAUUUACUUUUUGAAGUCAUUUGUCAUUUUGUUGAAUCACAUGAUCACAUGUUAUUAAUUCAUUUUUAAUUUAUGUAACAAUUAUUUUCCUAACAAUUUAACUGCCUAUUAUUAAGAAGUUAACAGUCUUUAAGGUAUAAAUACGCAACGCAAUUGCAAUCACAAAGAAAAUAAGAAUUGAGUGCCUAAGUUUUAGUGGCGAGACAAUGAAAUUUUCUAUGGAUUUUCCCUAUAUUGUGUUGUGUGUGCUCUGGUUUUCAAGGUAAUCAAGGUUUAGUUCACAAGAGCGCUGGAUUUUUUUUUUGAAUGCAUCUAAUAAUGUGAUGUAAAAAUACUAAAUACUCUUACUAAUCGUGUAAGAAUUUAAAAAUAACAGCAAAGAAUUUAUGUUUAAACCGAGGUAAAAUAUAAAAGAAGCUAAAUACAAGAGAAGCAUAGAAAAACAAAAUAAGAAAAGCUAUUCGAAGUUGAGAAGAGUCGAAGCUGUAAAAGGAGUUACAGUAAAAGAACCUCCCAACUCGAAGUUGAUGAUAAUAGGAGAAGUAAAGUAAAAGAUAAGAAAGAUAACAUAGAAGCUAUUCUAAGUUAAGAAGAGCCAAAGCUGUAAAAGAAGUUAAAGUAACCGAACCUCCCAACUCGAAGUUCAUAAGAACAGCAGAAGUUAGAUAGAGAAGAAGAAAAGGGGAGAAGAAUGUGUUGCUGCUGCGACUGUGGUACUUGCGGGAAGGUGCUGAGAUGCCUUCUCUGUGUAACUCUGGUGGUUUACCUUCUGAAGCUAUGUGGAGUGGAGAUUGAUGCAGACAACUGCUGCAAUUGUGGAGAUGACAGCUGAAUCAUUUCAUCAUCAUCUGCUGGCAGGGAAGGAUGUAUCUACAUUACUCUAUGAUCUAUAUUAUUAUUAUAAAGAAGUAAAGUUUGUGGUGCUGUAAAGCAAAUCUCUGGAUCUACUGAACCGAUUUUGAAAAUUCUUUUACCACUAGAAAGCCCGUUAUUUAUGAGUGUCAUAGGCUAUAUUUAAUCCCUGUAUUCUUACGGUAACGGGUAGUAGGGAGUAUUGUAUACUGUUAUACAAUGCUAUAGGCUUUGCACUUUUAGAAAAGGGGUUAGGAAAUAUUAUUUACCCCAAAAAUACUCGCAUUAAUUUUAGAACACAUAUUCCUCGAACAUUUUUAAUUAAUUUUCGAAAAGAAUGUUAUGGGAAAUACUCCUCAGCACCCUGUAUUUUGAGAUCGAGAAGGGGUGACACGAUUUUGAUAAAAAUUUAUAUAACUCAAAGAUAACUUCAAAAAAACGCGACAAAUAAAUUUAAAAAUUUUCACAAUAUAAGUGUAUAUUAAACUUGUAACCCGAUCUCGUAAAACUUUUAGUAAAUACAAAAUAUAUGUAAUAUACUAUUAAGGAGGAUUUACAUUGUUCUGACGUGACGCAUCAGAACGGAAUCGGUAUCAUACAUUUUGUAUGGCAACGUUAACACAUGUGUUGUGACAUGUCGUGAUGUCUUCUGAUGUGUCGCGUACAAAAUGUAUGAAACACGGCACGUCAGACAAAUGUAAAUCCGGCUUUACACUGUUUCACAAUCAACUGGGCAAUAUGUGAAACAUGCAGAAUUCCUCAAGGCAUUAGAUUUCUUUGAAACAUGGAUCAUGUGUCAUUAAAAAACAUGACAAUAAUUAUUUUAUUAAAUAAUAAGAAAGAUUAUCCUGUCCCUAAUGUUGUUGAUUAUAUCUUAAAGGUUAUGUUAAUUAAAGUAUUAUUUUUAUUUA